rnacentral:rRNA from 1 species
ACGUAGGGACCAAGCGUUGUUCGGAUUUACUGGGCGUAAAGGGCGCGUAGGCGGCGCGGUAAGUCACUUGUGAAAUCUCUGAGCUUAACUCAGAGCGGUCAACUGAUACUGUCGGGCUAGAGUGCAGAAGGGGCAACUGGAAUUCUCGGUGUAGCGGUGAAAUGCGUAGAUAUCGAGAGGAACACCUGCGGCGAAGGCGGGUUGCUGGGCUGACACUGACGCUGAGGCGCGAAAGCUAGGGGAGCGAACGGGA